GUCACGAUAGCUCCAGUGGUAGAGCAGCGGCGUUUUGAGCCGAAGAUCGUGAGUUCGAAUCCCACUUGUGACG
rnacentral:tRNA from 1 species